rnacentral:lncRNA from 1 species
CCUCUGGGUAUAUACACAAAGGAAAUGAAAUCAGAACAUCAAAGAGAUAUCUGCACUCCCAUGUUAAUUGUAGCACUAUUCACAAUAGCCAGAAUAUGGAAACAAGCUUCUGUCAAUUGAUGAAUGGAUAAAUUAUAGUAUACACACAAUGGAAUAUUAUUCAGCCUUAAAGAAGAAAGAGAUCCUACCAUUUAUAACAACAUGGAUGAACCAGGAGGACAUUAUGCUAAGUGAAAUAAGCCAGACAGAGAAAGAAAAAUAGUGCAUGAUCUCACUUACAUGUGGAAUCUAAAAAUAAAAUGAAAUA